rnacentral:tRNA from 1 species
AUUAAAGUGGCAGAUUUAAGUGCCAGGAAUUUAAGCUUCCUUUAUGAGUAAUUCCUUUAAUA